UACGUAGGGGGCUAGCGUUGUCCGGAAUCAUUGGGCGUAAAGAGCGCGUAGGCGGCUAGAUAAGUCCGGUGUGAAAGUCACAGGCUCAACCUGUGAAUGCCGCUGGAAACUGUCUGGCUAGAGUCCGGAAGGGGCGAGUGGAAUUCCUGGUGUAGCGGUGAAAUGCACAGAUAUCAGGAGGAACACCGGUGGCGAAGGCGGGUCUCUGGGCAACAACUGACGCUGAGGAGCGAAAGCGUGGGGAGCGAACAGG
rnacentral:rRNA from 1 species